CAUAACGGCGUACGCAUUUCAAACACGAAAAGUUACGUUAGGAAGUGUGGUAUCAGAGUAUUUAGCGUAUUCAGUGUAGUGAUGUGCGUAAUGUAUGUAGAGUAGUGCUGAGUUUGCCCUCAUAUGUAAUCAAGCAUAUUGUUUACGGCUGAGCAGAAAAAUCACAAAUUUUCUUCGGUCACACAGCUGUCACCAGUGCCAUACACACAACAUCGGGAAAAAUAACCAAAACAAUAUUAUUAAAAUCGUAAUGAGAAGUUUGUAUAACGAUCCAGAAAAGGAACACUAAGUUCAGAGAGGCGAUUUCGGUGCAAGAUCGAUUAGCUGUGACAUUGAGAUACUUGGCGACUGGGGACUCUUUUUACAAGUUUACAGUAUCUAUUCUGUAUAUCCAAGCAAAGUAUUGGCUGUAUUGUUGCAGACGUAUGUGGAGCCAUAAUCGAUGGAUUAAAAGAACACAUAAAGAUGCCAGAAGAACAAGAAAAAUGGAUGAACAUCAGCAACGACUUCAUGGAUCUCUGGAAUUUUCCACAUGUCGUUGGAGCAUUGGAUGGCAAACACAUCGUCAUGCAGAGCCCAUUCAACAGUGGAUCAGAGUUUUACAAUUACCAAUUGCAAUUUAAUAUCGUAUUACUCACUUUGGUGGACGCUAAAUAUAACUUCAUCUACGCAGACAUUGGUGCUCAAGGAAGAAUUGCAGAUGGUGGUGUUUUCAAAGCCAGUAGCCUCCACGAAAAGAUCGAAGGGAAACAUUUGCAACUACCAGAACCUGAAACCAUCCAAAACAAGGAAAUUCCAUACUUUUUUCUUGGUGACGGUGCAUUUCCUUUGAGUGAAACCAUGAUGAAGCCAUAUGCAGGAAUAUAUACUAAAGGUUCUAAAGAGAGAGUUUUCAACUACCACUUAUCCAGAGCAAGUAGGGUAGUAGAAAACGCAUUUGAUCUUCUGGCUUCGGUAUUCCGAGUACUACAGAAGCUUUUACAACCAGAAAAGGCUCAACGUGUUGUUAUGGCCAUAAUCUAUUUGCAUAAUUUUUAAGGCGCAGUUCUUCACAUUCACUUUAUGCCUGGGUCUGUGGAUACUAAAAACAAUGAUGGUGGAGAGGUAAUCCCUGGAACCUGGAGAAACGAUCAACCUAUGACAUCGUGCCUACCACUACCAUCGAUCCCACGGCGGUCUGCAACUCACGUUGAAGAAUACGAUGGGAAUUAGCGGACUGCUUCAUGGAGGAAGGCAAACUACCAUGGCAAGAUCGCUAUGCAUAGAAAGCUGCUUACAAUACUCUCAGUGGAUAGUCCUUUCCGGGGCUUAUCACGAUCCCUCAGAAAUUCCAAGGCGUUGUACGCGAACCAUUUACUUCCAUACAAUUCAUCCCUCCCUGCACAGAAAGAGAAAGAGGUACGUGAGCAGGAAUGCUGUGAAGAGCGUUGUAUUUUCUGCGCUACAUGCAUACUUAGUAGAAACUGAAUGUAUACUUGAGAAUAAACUCAUUGUCAUACAUAA